GAUGAACGCUGGCGGCGUGCUUAACACAUGCAAGUCGAACGGUGAAAGCGGAGCUUGCUCCGCUGGAUCAGUGGCGAACGGGUGAGUAACACGUGAGCAAUCUGCCCUUGACUCUGGGAUAAGCGUUGGAAACGACGUCUAAUACCGGAUACGAGCUGCGAAGGCAUCUUCAGCAGCUGGAAAGAACUUCGGUCAAGGAUGAGCUCGCGGCCUAUCAGCUAGUUGGUGAGGUAAUGGCUCACCAAGGCGUCGACGGGUAGCCGGCCUGAGAGGGUGACCGGCCACACUGGGACUGAGACACGGCCCAGACUCCUACGGGAGGCAGCAGUGGGGAAUAUUGCACAAUGGGCGCAAGCCUGAUGCAGCAACGCCGCGUGAGGGACGACGGCCUUCGGGUUGUAAACCUCUUUUAGCAGGGAAGAAGCGAAAGUGACGGUACCUGCAGAAAAAGCACCGGCUAACUACGUGCCAGCAGCCGCUGUAAAAC
rnacentral:rRNA from 1 species